AUCUAGCUGACGAGUCCCAAAUAGGACGAACUGCGCGUCAUGAAU
rnacentral:hammerhead_ribozyme from 1 species